CCUACGGGGCGCAGCAGUGAGGAAUAUUGGUCAAUGGCCGAGAGGCUGAACCAGCCAAGUCGCGUGAGGGAAGACGGCCCUACGGGUUGUAAACCUCUUUUGUCGGGGAGCAAAGCGAGUCACGUGUGACUCAUUGAGAGUACCCGAAGAAAAAGCAUCGGCUAACUCCGUGCCAGCAGCCGCGGUAAUACGGAGGAUGCGAGCGUUAUCCGGAUUUAUUGGGUUUAAAGGGUGCGCAGGCGGAGGUGCAAGUCAGCGGUAAAAUUUCGGGGCUCAACCCCGUCGUGCCGUUGAAACUGGCGUUC
rnacentral:rRNA from 1 species